rnacentral:rRNA from 1 species
GACGAACCGUGCGAACGUUGUUCGGAAUCACUGGGCUUAAAGGGCGCGUAGGCGGCCCGCCGCGUCCGGGGUGAAAUCCUCCCGCUCAACGGGAGAACGGCCUCGGAUACGGGCGGGCUGGAGGCGGGUAGGGGCAGGCGGAACUGUGGGUGGAGCGGUGAAAUGCGUUGAGAUCCACAGGAACUCCGGUGGCGAAGGCGGCCUGCUGGACCCGAUCUGGACGCUGAGGCGCGAAAGCCAGGGAGCGAACGGG